rnacentral:rRNA from 1 species
UAGGGAAUCUUCGGCAAUGGACGAAAGUCUGACCGAGCAACGCCGCGUGAGUGAAGAAGGUUUCCGGAUCGUAAAACUCUGUUGCUAGAGACGAACAAGGACGUUAGUAACUGAACGUCCCCUGACGGUAUCUAAUCAGAAAGCCACGGCUAACUACGUGCCAGCAGCCGCGGUAAUACGUAGGUGGCAAGCGUUGUCCGGAUUUAUUGGGCGUAAAGCGAGCGCAGGCGGUUUCUUGAGUCUGAUGUGAAAGCCCCCGGCUCAACCGGGGAGGGUCAUUGGAAACUGGGGGACUUGGGUGCAGAAGAGGAGUGUGGAAUUCCAUGUGUAGCGGUGAAAUGCAUAAAUAUAUGGAGGAACACCGGUAGCGAAGGCGGCUCUCUGGUCUGUAACUGUCGAUAAGGCUCGAAAGCGUGGGGAGCGAACAGG